rnacentral:lncRNA from 1 species
GGAGCAGGGGCACCGGCUGCAGAGGGCUGGGCACAGGACGUUCAGUGGGACUUUCUUUCUGCAGGCGUUAUUUACAGUUGGUAUUAACGGAUAUGUCCUGUUUGCAGCUGGAAGUGGGCAGCUCGCUGAGUGCGUUUCUCCACCCUGCAUCGAGGGGUUUGUUGACCUUGUGACCUGCCCAUGGCAUGUUGAAGACUGACCGAGGUGCAAAUGGAAGCAUAGGCUGGGUUUGGUGUUUUGUUUGGAGGCCUUGUGAGGGUACAAGGACUGUGUGGCUUUGCAUCACAGACACAUAUCAUUUUUCAGAAGUGCUGCUGCAUUGCGAAUAGGAGGGUCUCCUUAUGAGCCAAAGAAAAUAAGAUUCAGCAAAUAAGCCUCUCCGGAACAAGAAAGCCAUCCUGAAUGGUUGUCUAUGUGUUGAACUGCUGCAGUGUCAUCUGCCACUCUGAUACUGGUCAGUAGCAAUCAAGGUACAUCUUGCCUCACAAGAGAGGAAAAAUGUCCAUUGUCACUGCCUUUAUCCUGGUGCCUUAAUGACAUAUGAGCUGACUAAAUUUUCACCCAAAGUGAUGUGAAUUUCUUGUGAUGUUUUCUUGAGAUGGCUCUUAGCAUGUGCCAUUGAUCUCUGUGUCUUUAUACCCUGCUGAAAUCAGGGGUAUAAUAUAUAAUAUAUAUAUAUAAUAUAUAUAAUAUAUAAUAUAUAUUAAUGAUCCUGUCAUUGUGACAGAUUGUAGUGACAGAACAGGUUAACAAAAUAGAUGGACAGGAUGCAGAAUUCUAACUAAUCUGCUUAACUGGCUUUUAUGUCCAGAGUAAAGCUAUCACUGUGUGGGAUCUCUAAGACAUUACC